rnacentral:rRNA from 1 species
GACAGAGGUGCCGAGCGUUAGGCGGAAUCACUGGGCUUAAAGCGUGUGUAGGCGGACUUCUAAGUACCUUGUGAAAUCCCACGGCUCAACCGUGGAACUGCUUGGUAUACUGGUCGUCUUGAGCCAUCUAGGGGCUGUCGGAACAAACGGUGGAGCGGUGAAAUGCGUAGAUAUCAUUUGGAACGCCAAAGGUGAAAACAGACAGCUGGGGAUGUGCUGACGCUGAGACACGAAAGCCAGGGGAGCAAACGGG